UCAGAUACUUUUGGUGGUGAUGGAGAGAGAGAUAUUUUUUUCUGUUUUUUUCCGCAGAAUUUGGAGGAUGAAGUGAAGAAUGUUGAGGAUGAUUCUAGAGCUGUGAGAUAGCUUCAAGAGAUGCAUUUUCUGUGAUUUUUUUCUGCGAUUUUUGAAUAAGGACCCCUGGAAGAGGGAUGGGAUUUGGUUGCGGGCAGAAGCCUGAGCACAUUCUGCAACAUGAUCAAUAUGUCUAACAUUAGAAGGCCGCCCAAUUUCCAUUGAAGAAGCAAUAUCAGAACCAGUGGUGCUACAAACAAUCAAAUGUUUUCUAAAAGUAGCAAUCAGAUGAGUCAAAAUAGAAAGUUGGUCUCUCUCUCUUUCCUGAUUUUCCGUUACACGACUGCCGUAUUUGGAUUGAAGUUCGGUGCAGGCCUGAAACCGCUUUGGCAUGACUUGGGCUUGGAAGCAACAGGCUAUUUGUUGAUUUAACUUUGGAUAAGGCAU